UUUGCCAACGUAGGGCCAACGUAUGCUUGCUAUCUGGGCCAGCUCCACUGUCUCCUCCCUUUGCGAUUUUCCAGCUGAAUUUAAGAAACAGGAAUAUGUAGGCAUCAAACUUGCAUCUGUGUCAAUGAUAGUGUAACAGUUUUAUAGUGUGGUUUAUAUAUUUAUAUAUAACUAUUUACAUAUUUAUAGUGAAUUUCCCCAAAUGUUUGACCUGUAACAUGGUACAUUAUUUAUUUAGUUCCACUUGUCAUUUAUUGUUGGUUCCGAUGGGGCGCUAAUUGGGGUCGCACACGCCUAGACUUCCUCUCAUUCGGCAGUUUGGAAAGGGGGGAUGUCAGCGUUAUCUCCAACUGCCCGCGUGUGAUAUACCCUGUUGUCCUAUGUUACAGUUUGGAAGGGGAAUAAAUGCUGUCAGAUCCAUUCCACGUCUCCUCUGCAUUAUCGGCCAACUAGUCACACGACGACCUGUGAACAUUAAUGUAACAGGCUGAUCAAAGUCUGUUACAUAAACAAGGAUUCAACUGAUCAGCCGCUGUUGCCGAUCCCCGGGGUUAAGCUGUCUGCAUGAAGGUAUCGUGAUGGAAGACCAGUGAAUCCUCAUCGUCCGUGCUAAUUGUACUGUGUGUCUAGGUCAAUUGGAAUUUAUCUGGUUAAGUUUCAAUACUACAUUAGGUUUUGUUGUGCUUCUCUUUUCUUUAUUUUAUUUUAUUUAAUUGAGAGGGAAUAUACACACAAUUUUGGUUUUCUGUUGACGAUAUUCAGUUUACAGUAUGGCCAGUGGAUGUGAUUUUUUGAUAAUGUGACACCUUAUGUCGGGAGAGGG
ensembl:lncRNA